UCACAAAGAUGAAUUCACUUGCUCAAGAUCCAACAGACACAAAAUGGAGGUGGUUCAAACCCAAGUGUGUCUGACUGCAGAGCCUGUGUUCUUCCCAGUAGAGAUGUGGAUGCAGCACAAAUGGUAGAAAGGACCUGAGACUUAGUCAGAAGACCUCAGUUCACCCAAGGUAUCUGCUAUGCCCAAGGCCUCUGCUCAGUACUGAGGAAACAAGCAUGGACAAGAUGUGGCCUCCACCCUGAGGAGCUCCUAAAUCUAGGAGAGUAAAUCUGUUAGAAAUGUCUUCUCCGCACAUAAUUUAAGCUCUACCAACUGUUAACUUCUUUUCAUUUAUCCAAGUUUUGCCAGGUACCAUACCAAUAAAAAAAGACU
rnacentral:antisense_RNA from 1 species